CCAUAGGCGAUGAUAAGAAGAGUAGCUGAGAAAUAGUAUCACAGAGAGUCCUCGGGCGCUGAGAAGAGGAUAUACGAAGGUUUAGUGAAGAUGGUCUUGGAGUUGCACUUCCGAAAUGUAGGGGGUGCCGGGAUGUCCCGUUAUAGACAUAGAGUAUGUUGGUACUCGAUGAGGUAUGUAUUGUGAAGUACAUAUAAACUAAGGUGGUAACACGAGAUUAUAUAUCCCGUCCUUACA
rnacentral:ncRNA from 1 species